rnacentral:rRNA from 1 species
ACGAACGCUGGCGGCAGGCCUAACCCAUGCAAGUCGAGCGCGCCCUUCGGGGUGAGCGGCGGACGGGUGAGUCACGCGUGGGAACGUGCCCUUCUCUGCGGAAUAGCCUCGGGAAACUGAGAGUAAUACCGCAUACGCCCUUUGGGGGAAAGAUUUAUCGGAGAAGGAUCGGCCCGCGUUGGAUUAGGUAGUUGGUGGGGUAAUGGCCCACCAAGCCGACGAUCCAUAGCUGGUUUGAGAGGAUGAUCAGCCACACUGGGACUGAGACACGGCCCAGACUCCUACGGGAGGCAGCAGUGGGGAAUCUUAGACAAUGGGGGCAACCCUGAUCUAGCCAUGCCGCGUGAGUGAUGAAGGCCUUAGGGUUGUAAAGCUCUUUCAGCUGGGAAGAUAAUGACGGUACCAGCAGAAGAAGCCCCGGCUAACUCCGUG